ensembl:lncRNA
CCCCAGUGAGCGGCCCACGGCAGACCCGAGACCAGGCCCGCUUGACCCGUUGGAGGUAGUUCACUGGUAGCUGCAGGGCCUUGACUGGAUAUCCCAGGCAGAAGGUGUCAUGCUGGUCCUGUGCUGGAUGCUGCUGGGGCUGAAAAAGGAAAUUAACAACAAAAGUUCCAGAAGGAGCGCUUGAAGUUCUGUACAUGAAGCCUAAAGAGUGAGCUAAGGACAAGGAAACCACACUGAACAGAUCAAGGACGAGACACAGAUGUUUGAUAUUUUGCUUCCAAAUAAUCAGUGGGACUUCCAGAAAAUCAUAUGAACCAAACUUUCAAUGGAAAAUAUAAACAGGAAAUUUACUCUGCCCUAAGGAAGACCCAGCAGUGGCCACAGGACAGGAAAAGGUCAAUCCUCAUCCCAAUUCCCAAGAUGAGUAGUACUGAAAAAUGUUCUAACUAGCAGACAAUUGUGCUCAUCUCCCAUGCUAGUAAGGUUAUGCUUAAAGUCUUCCAUGCUAGGCUUCAGCAUUCUGCCAACCAAGAACUUUCAGAUAUCCAACCUCGGUUUAGAAAAGGAAUAGGAACCAGAGAUCAAAUUCCAACAUUCACUGAAACAUAGAGAAAACAAAGGAUUCCAGAAAAACAUCUACCUCUGUUUCAUUGACUAUGCUAAAGCCUUUGAUUGUGUGGAUCAUAAUAAGCUGUG